CCGGGCUUGUUUACAAUGGACCCUGCGCGCCGCGGCUGGGUCGGGGGUGUGGGCGCCGCGCCGCCCGCCGGCCCCGGCCCUGCGCCGGCCGCACUUCAGGGAUGGAGCGGGAGACUGGGGGGCUGCGAGCCGAGCGGGAGAGGGAGCCACAGUUUUCCGAUGCGGAUGCCGGAUCUUUCCCUUAGGUCUGGUAGGAGGAGGAGGGUCAGAGACCAUCAUGCAGACAUCAGAGACUGGGUCAGACACAGGCUCGACAGUGACCUUACAAACUUCGGUGGCUAGUCAAGCAGCAGUGCCUACACAGGUGGUACAGCAAGUACCAGUACAACAACAGGUAAGGAGCUGCUGCUCUUAGAAAAGAUGCUGUUACUUUCAUUAUGUUGGCUGUCCAACAUACCUG
rnacentral:lncRNA from 1 species